UUUCCCUUUAAGGAAUUGAACCUGUAGGGGCGCAUUUUCUCUCAGACAAUGUAAGUCUCAGCACAUAAUACUCAAACAGAGGGACAGAGUGAGAUGAGAUGUCUGACAGUUUUUUAAUUUUCUGUUAUCCAUACAGUGUUGUAAAGUCGUGAAACUAUCCAUAUUUACUCAGAAUGACUUUUUUUUUGUAUGAAAAAAGGUUUUGAAGUGUUUGGAAUUUAAAAAUGCAGGACAAUUAAUAAUUCCAUUUUUACUGUCAUUUAAAAAAAUCACCACGACAAAACCGUUCAAGCUAUCCAAAAUCCUUUGGCAAUUUAAGUUGUUUAAAAUGUUUUGGCAUCAUGUAGACAAAGUUUGGUGUGUAUAGUGUUACUCUCCUCUGAGCAGUAUGCAUUAAUUCACAGCUAAAUGUAAAAAAAAAUCCACAUUCAAAUCAAAAUAGCUGACUUCCUGUUGAUCGUAGCUGAUGACGGUGAAUUAGAAAGUUGUCCGUCUUGAUAAGAACAAUUUUUGUACCGAGUUUGGUGUCUGUAGCUAAAACUAACCCCCCCACUUUUGACAAAAGGUGGCGCUAUAGAGUGCCUCUUCCACGCCCUCUUAUGAACUUUUGCCAGUGUCUAGUUAUCAUAAAUACUGAUAUGUGUUCUGAAUUUCAUGAAAUUCUAAGAAUGUUAUAUGCCUUAAAAUCACCUGAGAAGUAUUCAAGUUUGACAUGUUGCCACGGCAACGAUAUUUUUAGAUAUCAAUAUCCCCCUAGCAGAUUAAUAUAGGCUGUGUUUUAACAUUAUUCUGAUGAAGUUUGAAGCAAAUCGAGUAAAAAUAAGAUGCUGAAUACAAAGCAUUUUGAAAAUGACACACUUCCUGCUGCCAGUUGGUGGCGCUAUAACUUUGACUCCUAAUAGUCACAUAUAUGCGAUCGACAUCCUACAAAGAAUAAUCUGAUGAAGUUUGAUUAAAAUCAGGAAAUGUAUGUGGAUGGUAUUAGACACUUCCUGUUUCUCAUUUCUCGCCAUAAUUUCAACGCUUCGCCACGAGCAAACCGUUUGAGAUAUCAAAAAUCCCCUGGCAAUUUUUCAUCCCCAGUGUCUUGAGAUCAUGUUGACCGAGUUUGGCGGCAAUCGAGUAAAAAACCUAUGACAAGUAUUUCAAAUUCCAGAGCAUGCGCUUUUUACAUAACUCUAAAUAGCUGACUUCCUGUUGGGCGGAGCCUAUGACAUGCAAUACGCAAGUUGUUCGGCACGAUGAGAUCUAUAUGUGUACUGAGUUUCAUAUUAAUACGUGCAAGUAUGUGUGAGCUAUACAUCAACAUUUAUGACUGUGUUCCAGGGGGUGCUGUAGAGCCCCUGUGCCACGCCCGUGUCCCAGCCUCUGCAGGCUCCUAAAGGCCACAGAUUCCAAAUUGUGCGCAAACUUUCAAGAGUUUUUGAGUAUGUUAAGGACCCCAAAAGCCCCCACAACUUUGACGACAAAUAUGAAUAAUAAACCCCAAAUAGCCAACUUCCUGUUGGGCGGAGCCUAUGAUAUGCAAUACGAAAGUUGUUUGUAUUGAUGAGUUCUAUAUGUGUACCGAGUUUCGUACGUCUACGUGCAAGUAUGUAUGAUAUAUGGCCCUCCAUAUUCCAGGGGGCGCUGUAGAGCCCCUGUGCCACGCCCGUGUAUCAGUCUCUGCCCGGCCCUAAUGGCCGCAGGUUCCAAUGUGUGUGCCAAUUUUCAAGACUUUUUAAGCAUGUUAAGGGCCCCAAAAGCCCCCGAAACCUUGAAGAAAAAUAAUAAUAAUAAAUAAUAAUAAUAAAUAUAGCUGCAAGCAGCGAUGGCGGGCUCAAGCCACCAAUGCCAUCGCCACCCCGGUGGCAUCAGGUAAACUGUGCCCAGCGGGCACAUGCAUUCACAAUAUCCCUCUGGCAGUGAGGUUUUAAAGGAUACGCCAGAUAAAGGGUUAAUCCGAAUCAUCUAGACUUUAAAAUCACAUUCACAGAACAAUAUAUAUUUAACUUUAGUAACACUUUACAAUAAGAUUUCAUUUAUAAACAUUAUGUUAAUAUGAACAAUAUUUAUAUAACAUUCAUUCAUGUCAGUUCAUAUUCCAAAAUUAAACAUUAAAACAUUGUUUUAUUGUGAUUUUUUUUCCAAGCACAUUUGACCAAUUCCAAACCAUAUCAAUCUUAAUAACUACCAUUAUUUUUCAUUAAAUCAUUUAUGAGUGCUAUACAAUAGUCCAGGAAAGCUGGAAGAGAAAACCUCCUUAUAUUCAUGUGUGCAGAAUUAUUAGGCAUGUUUUCUUUUACAGAUGAAAUGCGCUAAAAAAAGAGUUUUAACUCAAACUGUAAAGUCGAAAAUUAUGAAAUACCCAUGAUAAAUAUCAAACACACAUGCAAUACAGAAAUGGAUAAGUUAAGACUUGACCAUUGUACAAAAAAUGCUGACUGGGUCAUGAGGUCAGAAAAGAAGAAGAAAAAAACAGGUCAAGAAGAACUGACAAAAAGAAUUGCAAAAUAAUUAGGAAUUAAUGUGAAGAUUAAUUUUUAGUCAAUUCUGCAAGACAGACUUUCAGGAAAGGAGGUGGAAUAAAAAUGAGCUCCUAAAUCUUAAUCCCGGAUUCUGGAAGAUAUAUUCCUCAAACCAUCGGACA